GACGCUGGCGGCGUGCCUAAUACAUGCAAGUCGAACGGUCUUUCUAUGGAAGCUUGCUUCCACUGAGAAGAUAGUGGCGAACGGGUGAGUAACACGUGGGUAACCUGCCCAUAAGAGGGGGAUAACAUCCGGAAACGGGUGCUAAUACCGCAUAGUUUUCUUGAUCGCAUGAUCGGGAAAGGAAAGACGGCCUUUGUGCUGUCGCUUAUGGAUGGACCCGCGGCGUAUUAGUUAGUUGGUGAGGUAACGGCUCACCAAGACGAUGAUACGUAGCCGACCUGAGAGGGUGAUCGGCCACAUUGGGACUGAGACACGGCCCAAACUCCUACGGGAGGCAGCAGUAGGGAAUCUUCCGCAAUGGACGAAAGUCUGACGGAGCAACGCCGCGUGAGUGAAGAAAGGGUUUUCGGAUCGUAAAACUCUGUUGUCAGAGAAGAACAAGUUGGAGAGUAACUGCUCCAGCCUUGACGGUAUCUGACCAGAAAGCCACGGCUAACUACGUGCCAGCCGCGGC
rnacentral:rRNA from 1 species